GCUUAGCACAGGGGAGGUGGUCCUGACCUCCCCUAGCCAGACAGCUUGUGGUGUGGGGCUUCUUGUUAGCUCAUCACUGGGUUCAUCGCUGGGUCACUGGGGGGUCUCACUGGUGUUUUGUGCUGGGAGAAAGGAAGCCUGGAUGGUGAGAGCACCUUUGCAGAUGUGCAGCCACUUUCCUUUGAAGAAAGGAUGAAAUGUGGCCAUUUUCUGGCCUGUACUCCCUGCCAGCCUGAAGAGGCCCCCUGUCACUGCCCCCAGGGAACAUCGGGGUGGAUUGGGCUCUACAAGUGUUGCUCCGCUUCUCCCUGGGAGCAUCUCUGUGAGAAGGCAGUUGCGUGGCCUGGAGGAGGGAAGCUGUGCAGAACGAAGAUCACUGCCUCGUUUAAAUGUUUUCAUCAUCGGAACCGGCGCCUCUGUCACCUCCUCCGUGCACAGAACCGCUGCUCUGUGAGCUCUGUGUGGGUCUGUGGAUGUCGGCUCGGUGCCGUGCAGGUGCUGCUCAGCUGCCACUUGCAGGAGGAAGCGCUGGCAGGGACUGAAGGGCAGCAGAAGGACGGCUCAAUUAUUCUGUGUCAUCCACGAGGAGCUCGGCUCCUGUCGGAGUCCCAACGGAGAGCAAUGGAACGCUCUGCUUUUGAAGCCCUGGGAACAUGGAGGUGUGGCCCUGAGCAGAGGAGCUGGACAGGAACACUUCUCUCACAUUGUCCUCAGUGA
rnacentral:lncRNA from 1 species